rnacentral:lncRNA from 1 species
GGGAUGCUAAUGGGUAUGGAUACCCGAAAUUUUAUCCGAACCCGAACCCGAACCCGAACCCGAAUGAAACGGAUAUAUCCAAUGGAUAUGGAUAUAAAAAAUAAAAACCCGACGGAUAUGAAUUCGGAUAUGAAUUUUGAUUGUACCCGACCCGAACCCGACCCGAACCCGAAUUUAUUUUGUGUUAUAUAUAAUAUAUAUAUAAAAAUUUGAUGUUAUAUUUGAAUUUGUAUUUUAAAAAUUAAGAUUUAAUAUAAUAUAUUUUGAAAUAUUGAAAAAAGAAAUAAUUGUUUAGGGUUCAAAUUUUCGGGUUCGGAUUCGGGUUCGGGUUUCGGAUUUUUGGUCGGGUUCGGUUUUGGAUAUGAGUUUUUAAAAUCCGUCAGGUUCGAGUUUGGGUUCGGGUCUCGGGUUUGAAGUAGGGUUCGGGUUCGGAAUUUUAAAAAUCCGCCUCCAAUCCGAUACGUUGACAUCUCUAGUUGUGGACUAAUCAUCAUGAACGAUUUCUCAACGUUAAAUACAAAAAUUUCUUAAUCUCCAUACAAGUUCUUUUCAUCUCUUUUUUUUUUUUUUUUUUAGAGAUAGAUAGUAUAUUACCGAUUUCGUUUAAUUUUUUUUUAAAGAAAUUAACUAGAAAUACAAAUCAACUAGAAUUCGAACUUGGGAUCUCGACAUCAAAUUCUUUACCAUUUAUGCCAGAGACGAUCGAUACUUUUGAUCAUUUUUGAAAAUACCACAUCAUGAGUUAUAACUUCUUUUCUUUUCUUUUAGAGCGCAUUCGUAAAUAGGUGAUGAGAGCAAAUUUUCGAUAGCUUUAUCUAAGCAUCUUAUUUUACUUGGUCCUUCAAAAUUUUCGUCCAAUCUCUUUUCUUUUUAUAAAACAAUUAUGUAAUAGAAAACAACAAAGAAAUAAUUUUCGUCCAAACUCUUUUUCUUUUUCGUUUUUUUCAAGAGGCCUCAUAUGCUUCACUCCUAUAGUCUAAUUCACUUCUUCUAUAAAUGAAAUGGAUAACGUACUAUCUUUUUCUCACAAAAAAAAAAACAUCUAAGAUACACACUAUCAUUUUCAUACACUCCAGUCGUUAUCAAAAC